rnacentral:rRNA from 1 species
UGGGGAAUAUUGCGCAAUGGGCGAAAGCCUGACGCAGCGACGCCGCGUGAGGGAUGAAGGUUUUCGGAUCGUAAACCUCUGUCAGAAGGGAAGAAACCGCACUUUGCUAAUCAGCAGUGCCUUGACGGUACCUUCAAAGGAAGCACCGGCUAACUCCGUGCCAGCAGCCGCGGUAAUACGGAGGGUGCAAGCGUUAAUCGGAAUUACUGGGCGUAAAGCGCACGUAGGCUGCUUUGUAAGUCAGGGGUGAAAUCCCACGGCUCAACCGUGGAACUGCCUUUGAUACUGCUUAGCUUGAAUCCGGGAGAGGGUGGCGGAAUUCCAGGUGUAGGAGUGAAAUCCGUAGAUAUCUGGAGGAACAUCAGUGGCGAAGGCGGCCACCUGGACCGGUAUUGACGCUGAGGUGCGAAAGCGUGGGGAGCAAACAGG